GGUGCUCAUUUGCAGGGUGUAAAACAAUGGUUACGUGAGUCAAACACUGGCUUCUUGGUUCAGCUCAAUUUUCGUAAAUCAAGUUACACUACACUCAACCCCCG